GCCUGGCUAGCUCAGUUGGUAGAGCAUGAGACUCUGAAUCCCAGGGUCAUGGGCUCACACUCCCCUGGGGGGCA
rnacentral:tRNA from 1 species